AUUGAACGCUGGCGGCAUGCCUUACACAUGCAAGUCGAACGGUAACAGGUCUUCGGAUGCUGACGAGUGGCGAACGGGUGAGUAAUACAUCGGAACGUGCCCGAUCGUGGGGGAUAACGAAGCGAAAGCUUUGCUAAUACCGCAUAAGAUCUACGGAUGAAAGCAGGGGACCGCAAGGCCUUGCGCGAACGGAGCGGCCGAUGGCAGAUUAGGUAGUUGGUGGGAUAAAAGCUUACCAAGCCGACGAUCUGUAGCUGGUCUGAGAGGACGACCAGCCACACUGGGACUGAGACACGGCCCAGACUCCUACGGGAGGCAGCAGUGGGGAAUUUUGGACAAUGGGCGAAAGCCUGAUCCAGCCAUGCCGCGUGCAGGAUGAAGGCCUUCGGGUUGUAAACUGCUUUUGUACGGAACGAAAAGACUCUGGUUAAUACCUGGGGUCCAUGACGGUACCGUAAGAAUAAGCACCGGCUAACUACGUGCCAGCAGCCGCGGUAAUACGUAGGGUGCAAGCGUUAAUCGGAAUUACUGGGCGUAAAGCGUGCGCAGGCGGUUAUAUAAGACAGGUGUGAAAUCCCCGGGCUCAACCUGGGAACUGCAUUUGUGACUGUAUAGCUAGAGUACGGCAGAGGGGGAUGGAAUUCCGCGUGUAGCAGUGAAAUGCGUAGAUAUGCGGAGGAACACCGAUGGCGAAGGCAAUCCCCUGGGCCUGUACUGACGCUCAUGCACGAAAGCGUGGGGAGCAAACAGGAUUAGAUACCCUGGUAGUCCACGCCCUAAACGAUGUCAACUGGUUGUUGGGUCUUCACUGACUCAGUAACGAAGCUAACGCGUGAAGUUGACCGCCUGGGGAGUACGGCCGCAAGGUUGAAACUCAAGGAAUUGACGGGGACCCGCACAAGCGGUGGAUGAUGUGGUUUAAUUCGAUGCAACGCGAAAACCUUACCCACCUUUGACAUGUACGGAAUCCUUUAGAGAUAGAGAGUGCUCGAAAGAGAGCCGUAACACAGGUGCUGCAUGGCUGUCGUCAGCUCGUGUCGUGGAGAUGUUU
rnacentral:rRNA from 1 species